CUUGUUUCUAAGUUACCUUUUGCUUUUUAGCUAAGAAAGUACUGAUAUUGCAUUGAAAGCAACAACUUAAGCUAUGAUGAAAUUCCUGCUUCUCUCUGUCCUCCUGGUUGCGUUUGUCGUUUCUUGCUACGCAUAUUCUUAUUCCAAGUCCUGUUACAUCAAUGACGAAGGCAGGGAGAUCUGCGACGUUGAUGAAAAUCCGAACGGAGGCUCUUCAUCCUCUUACGCCUCAUCCGGAGGAGGACGACGAGGAGAAGGACGAGCAUGGGCUGGACCCUUUGUUCCUUCUCCCUAUGGAUUCUUCAUGUAUCGAUAAGACGUGCAGCCAGAAGUGACUUCAAGGUAUCCGAUAGUACUCAAAUCCAAUUAUACUGUAAAAACAGAUUGUAAAAUUUCAAAAUAAAAAUCAUUAAAGCAUUAUUUUUUGAUCCACUUUUUUUUCUUCAUCAUGUGUUCCUAAUGGGAGAUACCACAGAAAAUCUAUGGGCAGCAACAGCAAAUAUGAAAAAACGGAAGUCAUAACUUCCGGAUUUGGCUACUGGCAUGAUCAGCUAUUCUAAACUAGUGAAUUAUUUCAGAGCCGAGAUUAUAUGCAAGCGCACAUAAUCACCACCUUUUCUGUAUUAUAUAUAGCCAAUCCAAUGCUCCAAGUUAAAAGUUUUGAGAAAUAAAAUAUGAAUGUGGCAUAAUUGAUCGAAUCAUAAGGGCCGUUUCCAUGGACACUUUCGACCCCGGAAAAAACCUGCUUUUCACCGCAUUCCGGUUAUUAGCGGGUUUUAUGUGGAAUCUUUCGACUCCUGCUAGCUUCUGGUGAAAGCGGUGUUUCUACCCGGAAUGCAUUACGCGGUCUACUAGCCGCUAAGGAUGCUGGGUAAAAACCGCUUUCUCUGGUAUAAUGGGAGAACCUCCAUGUUAAUCUAGAAAAAGUAGUUAUCUGCAUAGUCUCGAAAGUUUUUGAAAUAUCAGUUUAAUGCUUUUUCUUGUCAAAAACUCACACUAAAUUAGCUAAUUUAACUGGUACGUGGUGGCUUAUAAACACGAUAGAAUCAUUAGCGACACAUCAUAAAAAUUUUAUACUUUAUAAGACAAAUUUCCGAACUUAAAUAUGCAUUAUAGAUUUAGAUUUAAAAAAACCUAACCUGAUCGCAUCACAUCAUAUUUUCUUGCGCGUAUUGUAAUAUUUAAGAGUAAAACU